GACGAACGCUGGCGGCGUGCUUAACACAUGCAAGUCGAACGGAAAGGCCCUGCUUGCAGGGUGCUCGAGUGGCGAACGGGUGAGUAACACGUGGGUGAUCUGCCCCUUACUUUGGGAUAAGCCUGGGAAACUGGGUCUAAUACUGGAUAGGACCAUGCUGUAGGUGGUGUGGUGGAAGGUUAGGUUCGGUAAGGGAUGAGCUCGCGGCCUAUCAGCUUGUUGGUGGGGUAAUGGCCUACCAAGGCGUCGACGGGUAGCCGGCCUGAGAGGGUGGACGGCCACAUUGGGACUGAGAUACGGCCCAGACUCCUACGGGAGGCAGCAGUGGGGAAUAUUGCACAAUGGGCGCAAGCCUGAUGCAGCGACGCCGCGUGGGGGAUGACGGCCUUCGGGUUGUAAACUCCUUUCAGCCAUGACGAAGCCCUUGUGGUGACGGUAGUGGUAGAAGAAGCACCGGCUAACUACGUG
rnacentral:rRNA from 1 species